AGGCGCGCUGCUCGGUGGGGAAUGUACUUGUGGCACUGAGGGGGAUCCUCUGUCCCCGCUGGGUCAUAUCAGUCGGGAUUCGAGCCCCGGUGACCAAUCGACCCGGUUUGUUCGGAACUGACAGGGUUGUCAAGACGCUGGGCUUUCCCUGGCAAACCAAGACGACCUGAUCACGUAGUUAGAACCCAGAGAAAGCAUUACUGGGCGUGAGCCGGUCGGGGCUCCGGUAUUUGCCCUUCGCCCAGGUGUUGUUUUGGCUACAGACUUGAUGUCCUACCUGUUGAAGAAGUCCCCAAGAAUCGCACCCACACCAAAACCUACCCUACCUGUUCCUCCCCCAGGUUGCUGUAGAAAUGGACCUCUACCCGCCCAGAUGUUACCAUUCAUCGCGAAGGGUGUCGUGAAGAUGAAUGCCCUGUCGAACAUCAUCCAGCAGGAGGUCAAGGAAUUUUAACUGAAUGAUUGAAUAGUCUUGCAAGAUCUAUGAAACAAGCUUCGGCUGCUGUAGAGAAACAAAAAUGGGUUCCUGCAAUUCUAAAUAAGAUGUACUGGGUGCUCUGAGAGUUAAUAAGCUAAAAAAUUCAAUGUUUGUUACAAUUAUAGUGUAAACAGAAAGCAUUUCUGAUACAAUAUUAUUUUACUAGAUUCAGAAAAGUAUGAGCCAUGGUCCCUACCACUAAAAAAACUACAACCCAGAACUACAGGACUAAUACACAUGAAACACUAGGAGGUAUCCAAAAUCAUACUUAGUAAAAUGCAAAAUUAUAUUAACACAAGAGCUCCGAGAAAAUGGAGAUCAGUGAAGAAUGAAGGG
rnacentral:lncRNA from 10 species